rnacentral:misc_RNA from 1 species
GUACACCCCACGCGUGACUGUGUCUGCGGGAGACUCUUUGCCGCCUCCUUGGAAAGUGUCGCCAUCACAACCGCAGCAGCGGCACUACAAGCACACGCGCCCAGGCGCCGUAGGAGAGAGAGAAUGAGAAGUCCGUACAUUCGUUUCCCCAGCCCCUCCCUCGCGGAGGAAGCGCUACGCCUUGAGUGGGUCUUCGGCCUCAACAGCGACUACAAGGCUAGCAUCCACAACCUCAGCAUUGGCGGUGGUGGCGUCAGUGGCCGAGGAGAAAACCAACAGCAGCUGGCGCAGCAGCAGCGGAAGGUCUUCUACACGGUGGCUCACACGGGUGUCUUGUACGACGCAAUCCAAAACACGCAGAAGCACCUCCUGGGGCACCGGUACUCCAUCAUCAGCAGUAGCUGCUGCGGCCACAACCACCGCUUCAUCGUGACGGCUGACGAGGGCGACGUCAAGGUGCGCCGGCGCAUUCAGCAGCAGGUGGUGCUCACGCAGUUGGCCAAGGGCCACGCGGGCGAGUCGCAGAAAGAUGUGGAGGAGGAAGAGCUAUGGGAAGAGGCUGCCAUGUGCGUCGAUCCCUCCGUCGCGAAGCGCGACGACGAGGAGGACGGGUCCGCCAUGAUUGUGUGGGACGCGGCUACCGCGCUACCGGUGAAAAUGAUUGCCACAGGCAAGUACGGCGGUGUCCUGAGCGUCGCCAUGUCGCCAGAUGGGCAAUACCUCGCCACCCUCAACCGCCGAGAUCCGCAGGAAAUCAUGAUCUGGGCCUGGACACAAUCGAAUCCCGCCUCGGUGGGAGGAAUGCCUGGCAACAUCGGAGGAACCCAUAACGCUGCUAACCUCCUCGCAGAUGUUGAUAUGGCCCCCGUCUUUGUGCGGCGCAUCGCUGCGCGCGAUGAGCAGACGUUCAUCUCCUUCUCGCAGGACAACCCAGAGCUGCUGUGCACGAACGGGCUGCGCCGCGUCAUUUUCUGGUCUUGGGUGGAGGGGAUGCUGAAGUACUACUCGCCGCCCAUCCUCCAGCGCCGCCUCAAGGCCUCUGUCGGUAACUUCACUCAGACAGUGUAUCUGCCUGGCACGAUGAUGGCGUGCAGUGGCACCGUCGACGGCGAUGUGGUUCUCUGGUCCUUGCAGCCGCAGGACCGCGUCAUCAAGGAGCAGGAUAAAUCGCUGCUGAAGAUGGUGCGGGUGCACAUCGGCGGCGUGACCUUCAUCACGACAGUGCAAGGGUACAUCGUCACGGGCGGCAUGGACGGUGUCGUCAAGUUCCUGGAUGCCAAGCUUCGACUGGUGGCGUGGUUCGAUGACCUCAACGGCGGUCCCAUCGUCUCCAUCAGCUUCGACCAAGUGCUGCCGGUGAUGACGGUGGAGGAGGCGCGGGCGAUGGCGCCGGAGCAGGUCGAUGGUCACCUUCUCACUGAAGGCACCGCCGCCGCGAGCCUGUUCACCGCGCCGGAUUUCAUGGUGUCGACGGCGCACAGCAUGAUCAUCGACGUGCCAGCGAAGGCAUUCCACACGCCCGGCACCGCCGCUCACGCGGGCCCCAACACAGCGGCACGCGGACGGCUCAUCGUGCAGGGUCAAGACCGCGCCAUCCAGUGUCUGGCGGCCCACCCGCACCUGCCGCGGCUGGCGAUCGGCGGGUACAGCGGCAAUCUGCACCUCUGGGACUACUGCGAGAAGCGAGUGGUGCUGCUGAGCCUCUUCCGCAACCUGCUGAUCCGCUGCUUGGCCUUCGACCCGUCGGGCAAGUGGCUCGUUGUCGGCUUCACCAACGGCGUCAUAAAGGUGCUGGAUGGGGAGACGCUGGAGGAGGAGCAGACGAUUCGCCCCAUAGCCAGCGCCACGGCAGUCGGCACGGCAGCCAGCGAUGGUGCCACAGCAGCCGCAGCGCAGCCCUCGUCGCCGGGCAACGGCAAGCAGAGUGUCGCCGAACAGCAGCAGCAACAGCAAGCAACGGUGAGCAAGGCGGCCGCCAGUGUGGAGGAGAUCCGCUUCUCCCCUGACAGCCUCCUCAUGGCCACCGCCAAAGACGACGGCUCCGUCGGCCUGUACGAGUAUGUAAAGGCGUCCGGGUCUACCAAGAAGGCGGAGUGGCAGCUCGUGGGCCACCACAAGACGCACAACGCACCUAUCUGCGGCCUCCACUUCGGCGCCCACACAGCCGGCUUAGAGGAAGGGCUGAGGCUCCUCUCCGUGGGCGCUGACAAGCGACUCAUCGAGUACGAGCUCGUCGACUCCAGCCCCGAGACGGGGCUUCUCCUACGCACGGCGCAUAAGAUAUCGCAGGAGUCGGCGCCGACAGGCUUCGCCUGGCUGCCAGACGGGUACUCGCUGCUGGACGCAGCGAGCCAGCCGCGCGACUUCUUUGAUACCUGCGGCGAAAGUAGUGACGACAGGACAGAGGACGGUAGUGCUGCGCACGAAAGGGGCGACGACGACAAGGCCGCCAGCACCGCAGGAGGCGGUGGUAGCGGCACGGAUGUGCUGGACAUGCUGCUGAUCGCCACCCGCGAGUAUAAGUUUCAGGUGUACCUCAGCAACUGGAGUCGGCAGUGUGUCAAGACAGUCUUGGCGCCGACGUUCGGCGGCCCGGUGACGCAGAUGGCUAUUGUGCCGGUAGCGAAGGCACCCGCCGCACCUGCGUCGACAUCUUCCCCGCCGCCAUCUCACUGCUUGGUGUACGCGACCAAGGAGAAGGUGAUUGGGCUCACUCAGCUCCCCCUCCGCGGCGAUCCGUGCGGCUCCAUCGGCAUCCUCGCCCACCCAGGCGUCAUCACCAGCAUGGUCACCUCGCACGACGGCGCCAUCGUCUUCACGGCGGGCGGGCCUGACCAGGCUGUCAUGCAGUGGCGCGUGCGCGGCGAAUACAUCAUGUCACCGUCGGAGUGGGCGGCCGUCGUGCACUGCCGGGAGAAGGGCGGCGUGCCACUGCCUCAUCUCGUCGGCGCGGUCGAGGGCGGCGCUGACGGUGAGUUGAUGAACGAAGUGGUGGACUACUUCUAUUACGCCCAAAUCCGCGCGCAGGGUGAGGAGACAACGGCGAAGCGCGUGCUGCUCGGCGCCAUUCCGUUUUCUCAGAUGCCGAACCUUCUGCGCUCUCUCUGCUACUACCCGUCCGAGAAGGAAAUCGGGCACCUGACCUACGAGGUGGCGAACAUGUAUGGCCCACGGGACGAACCGCUCGCUGAGGUGAAUGUGGACACCAUUCUGCUUGACUUCUCGCAGUUCCUGCGGUUGUACAUCAAUUACCGCCCCGUGUUCGGCAUCACGCGGCAAGAUAUCGAGGCAGCCUUCCGCGCGCUGGGCGCGGAUAGGGUGACGGGGGAAAUCAACCGCGACCACCUCUUCCAUCUGCUGUCCACCGAGGGGGAGUCGCUCAAGUCCAGCGAGGUCGCCGCGGCUUUGACGUCGCUGCUCGGCGACGGCAUCCGGCUCGAAAUGCUCGAGGACGUCAUUACAGCACGCACCUUCGCGAAGAACCUGCUGGGCUUCGAGGAUUACGACGACGACCUUGGACCGGACGGUAAGGAACGGCGUGGCAACGGCGUGGACAGCGAGGAUGACUACGAUAGCAGCAGCGGCAUGUACACCGCCGGCGACGAGGUCGACGUCAACACGCUUGCCUAGUAACCGGUGGCUACGGAAUGGAUAGCAGCGGCGCAAGCCAGCAGUGGUGUAGGUGCAGCAGUGUUGUGGUUUGUCCCUCGCUCAUGUACGUAGAUUGAAUCCCUUCUUCUCUCACUUAUGAGCUCCGUGAGAGAAGGAAAGGGGGGUGGGAAGCGAGGGAAGCGAGGAAAGCGGGAGACGGUCGCCUUAUCUCCAGCACGUACACGCUAGCGCAGUGAGCGCAUACCCUUCUACAGAGCGCGCUGCUUGUCAGUCUCUCUGAGCGUGUUUCUGUGCUCCUAUGUGUGCCCCUCUGCAGGAUAACGAUGUAAACUAGCCAGGUGCGUGCGCCCGGAGCGGGAUGAAGCAUGCAGGCGGAAGAGGAAGAGGAACGGCUCCGGAACACUCUAAUACACAUCGGUGUGUGUCUGUCUCUUGGGAGGGGCGGAAGCGGAUGUCUGCCGCGUCCCAAGCCCUCCCCUCACUCAGCAACAGC